AGUCGAACGGAUUUUUUAUCAGUAGCUUGCUAUGAUAAUAAUUAGUGGCAGACGGGUGAGUAAUGCAUAGGAAUCUACCUAGUAGUAUGGGAUAGCCACUAGAAAUGGUGGGUAAUACUGUAUAAUCCCUGCGGGGGAAAGAUUUAUCGCUAUUAGAUGAGCCUAUGUUAGAUUAGCUAGUUGGUAGGGUAAAGGCCUACCAAGGCAGUGAUCUAUAGCUGGUCUGAGAGGAUGAUCAGCCACACUGGAACUGAGAUACGGUCCAGACUCCUACGGGAGGCAGCAGUGGGGAAUAUUGGACAAUGGGCGCAAGCCUGAUCCAGCUAUGCCGCGUGAGUGAGGAAGGCCUUAGGGUUGUAAAACUCUU
rnacentral:rRNA from 1 species